UAUAACUAACAAGGGAUAACGACACCAGGUCACAUUUCGUUCCGAGCAGUGCUUUUUCAGGGGUAAACGCUCGCACAUAUACUAUUACAACUGUGAACGUGGAAAAGUGAAAUGGAUUCAUGCACCUCUGUCAUCCAGUAUUACCGUUUUUUGCUUAUAUCGGAUGUCAAUAGUUUAUUUCUAGAUCUUAUAAGAUAUUUAUAUUUAGAAGCUAAAGUUUGCUUGUACUCGAAUCUUGAUUAUUUACUUAUGCUUAUAAAAAUAUAACGUAUGUGUAAAUAAUAACAACAUAAGCAAGAUGGCGAAACCACACGUUGUCUCGUUAAAAAAAUUAUUUUUUCGAGUCACGCGAGUUUUAAAUUCAAUUUUCGCAUAAAAAGCAGUUACCAUCGUUUCCUAAACUCUCUCGAGAAUAUUUCAUCUGAAAGAAACAUUGUUUUGGUCGUGCGAUACGUAACAGCGUAUCGAGCGAUGCAGAAAUCAGUGACACAGAGUGGUCAUCCAACAGGCAGUCGCAUAAUAACGCGUGCCAGCGAGUGCAGCACAUUCAGCAUUAUCUGGUUGCUGGUAACAAAAUACCUUUCACCCAUUUCUGUGGGAACCCGUGCUGAUGUUACGUACUUACGUAUACCCGUGUAGGGACACGAUCGUAUAAUCCCGCGAACCAACCCUUUAUGUGGACCGUGUAACCUACCUUGGAUAUGUUUGACGUAAACACGU
rnacentral:misc_RNA from 1 species